rnacentral:rRNA from 1 species
UCGGGAAUUUUGGGCAAUGGGCGAAAGCCUGACCCAGCAACGCCGCGUGAGGGAUGAAGUAUUUCGGUAUGUAAACCUCGAAAGAAUGGGAAGAAUAAAUGACGGUACCAUUUAUAAGCUCCGGCUAACUACGUGCCAGCAGCCGCGGUAAUAAGUAGGGAGCAAGCGUUGUCCGGAUUUACUGGGCGGAAAGGGCGCGUAGGCGGCGCGGUAAGUCACUGGUGAAAUCUCUGAGCUUAACUCAGAACGGCCAAGUGAUACUGCUGUGCUAGAGUGCGGAAGAGGCAACCGGAAUUCUUGGUGUAGCGGUGAAAUGCGUAGAUAUCAAGAGGAACACCUGAGGCGAAGGCGGGUUGCUGGGCCGACACUGACGCUGAUGCGCGAAAGCCAGGGGAGCAAACG